rnacentral:misc_RNA from 1 species
UGCAUUUCUUAGAAGUAUAUCACUUGAAGCUAUUGGACUUGGGGUGCAUUUGGCAGCGGGAGCUCACGAGAUUUUGCUCCAAGCAGAAUAUAUUCUCACAAGGAUUCCUCCUGUAUCAUGGCCUGUAAAAGCCAAAACAAAGCCUAAUGUGAGAUAUAAUCAGCCAAAAAGUGCCCAACAAGGAAUUCAGCAGGCAUAUGAGAGCCUCAGUGAUGGCCUAGGUAAAUCUGCUUCUGCUUUAGUUCAGGCACCAUUGAAGAAGUACCAGCGCGGAGCUAGUGCAGGAUCUGCCUUGGCAAUUGCUGUACAGGGUGUUCCCGCUGCUACUAUAGCUCAAGUUUCUGCAUGUGCAAGUGCAGCACAUUGUACUCUUCUUGGACUAAGAAAUAGCCUUGAUCCCGAGCACAAGAAAGAGUCCAUGGACAAGUAUUUGGGUCCUACUCAGCCAUGCGAUAGGAAUUGAUCCAAUGUAUGGAUUUCACCUUAACACAACAGACUGAUGUAUCUUGCCAUCCUAUCCGGAAUUCUCUUUGUAGUCAUGGUAGUCUGUAUGUCAUGUG